CCAACUCAACAGUUGCUAUGACUCCUCUACUUGAGUAUCUGUACCACAUGGGUAAUGAACACCACAUAAAUAAAAAGGGGGUCAGAAUACGUUCGUAAAAGUUAAUGGUGUAUAAAAUAACGAGGAUAGCUUAAACAUAUUGUUCAUCAAUCACAUAGAUCCAUUCACAACAAUAAUUAAUCAUUAGUAAAGUUAUGUAUGCAAUGCAAUCAAC
rnacentral:lncRNA from 1 species